rnacentral:rRNA from 1 species
AUGACGGCAUCAGCGGCCUGCUCCUUCUUCUUCGACGCCGAGCUCCUCGGCGAGUCCGGCAUGCCGGCGAUGGACGCGUGCGCGCUCUGCGCCAAGCCGCUGGCGCGCGACAGCGACGUCUUCAUGUACAGAGGGGACACUCCCUACUGCAGCGAGGAGUGCCGCCAGGAGGAGAUGCAGCUCGACGCCAUUUGCGCCAGGCAGGCCGCGCGGAGGCUGCAGCGGUUCUCGGCGGAGACGGAAUCCCACCGUAGGCAGCGACAGUCAAGGUCUCCAGGAAGGUGUCGGUCGCGAGCUAACUGGCCGGCCUUGCCUGAAGAACCAUCGAUGUCUCCGGCUCUCCGGCCAAUGCUCUAA